rnacentral:misc_RNA from 1 species
AAGUCGUAACAAGGUUUCCGUAGGUGAACCUGCGGAAGGAUCAUCAUUGUAUGGUUUAUACUGUAUUGAGGACUGUUGUUAAGAUUGGUGGUGUGUGUGUGAAAGCAUGCAGAUCACCGACACUAUUCUACGCACUCAUUCUUGUAAUGUACUAACACAUCAAAACUAAUACAACUUUCAACAAUGGAUCUCUAGGCUCUC